rnacentral:rRNA from 1 species
GUAGGGUGCAAGCGUUAAUCGGAAUUACUGGGCGUAAAGCGUGCGCAGGCGGUUAUGCAAGACAGAUGUGAAAUCCCCGGGCUUAACCUGGGAACUGCAUUUGUGACUGCAUAGCUAGAGUACGGUAGAGGGGGAUGGAAUUCCGCGUGUAGCAGUGAAAUGCGUAGAUAUGCGGAGGAACACCGAUGGCGAAGGCAAUCCCCUGGACCUGUACUGACGCUCAUGCACGAAAGCGUGGGGAGCAAACAGGAUUAGAUACCCUGGUAGUCCACGCCCUAAACGAUGUCAACUGGUUGUUGGGUCUUCACUGACUCAGUAACGAAGCUAACGCGUGAAGUUGACCGCCUGGGGAGUACGGCCGCAAGGUUG